AAAAUUUCAAGCAGAAUAACAUAUGGUUUCAAUUAAAGUUUUGUUAUUUGGCUUUACAAAUCUUAGUAAAAAUCCUGAGGAAUGAGUCCUAACUUUGGCACAAGUACAGAUAAAGUUACCAGCUUCCGUGAUUGGCUUGUGCAAACUUGGGGGGAGGGGGAGGGGAGGGGCACAGUUGAUUAUUCUAGAAUUCUGAUUCAGAGCUACAACUUUCAAGUUGGCAAGAAACUACUGGCGAUUUCCCAGAAGCAAGCGGCAACUCCAGAUUUUACAGGACACCAGAUGGCAGACUUGCUCUUUCAUGCUCAAUGAGUUUGAGGCCUCAUUUGUCUACCUUCUCACAUGGCCAGGAGACUACUUGUGUCAAUCCCUCUGCUUCCCACCAUACUUCAUGCUACUCUACUCUGAUCCCAAAGAAAAGAGAUGAGAGGGGAUCAGGACUAAGAAAAAGGACACCGCCUCCCAGUGCCACACUGCACAAGCCCACAGCCAAGUCAUCAAGAGACAAGCCCAUGGGAAACAAAUUAGUUCAUGUACCUCAAGUGCUCCUGAAGCUUUUCCACAGUACCACUUGGCCAGUGCUUGGACAAGGUGAUUUACCAUAUCUCUGAGUGUCCUACUCCCAAGGGCACAUUCAUCUUGCCUUCCCAGAAGCAGCUUAAGGUCUGGAGUUUCAUGUUUAUGAUCAUCAAGUAUAUUUUGGCUAGCAGAAUGAGAGACACAGUUGUGUUUUCAGUAAACUCAUCCAUUACCUUG
rnacentral:lncRNA from 12 species